GCCGACAUGGCUCAAUGGCAGAGCAGCUGAUUUGUAAUCAGCAGGUUGUUGGUUCGACUCCGACUGUCGGCUCUA
rnacentral:tRNA from 2 species